UACAGAGAACACCACAAAGAUAUUCCUCAAGAAAGGCAACCCCAAGGCACAUAAUCAUCAGAUUCACCAGGGUUGAAAUAAAGGAAAAAAUGGUAAGGGCAGCCAAAGGGAAAGGUCAGGUCACCAAUAAAGGGAAGCCCAUCUAACUAACAGCAGAAUUCUCAGUAGAAACACUACAAGCCAGAAGAGAGUGGAGGCCAAUAUUCAACAUUCUUAA